UAACGCGUGGGUAACCUGCCUCGUACAGGGGGAUAACAGUUAGAAAUGACUGCUAAUACCGCAUAAGACCACAGCACCGCAUGGUGCAGGGGUAAAAACUCCGGUGGUAUGAGAUGGACCCGCGUCUGAUUAGCUAGUUGGUAAGGUAACGGCUUACCAAGGCGACGAUCAGUAGCCGACCUGAGAGGGUGACCGGCCACAUUGGGACUGAGACACGGCCCAAACUCCUACGGGAGGCAGCAGUGGGGAAUAUUGCACAAUGGGGGAAACCCUGAUGCAGCGACGCCGCGUGAGCGAAGAAGUAUUUCGGUAUGUAAAGCUCUAUCAGCAGGGAAGAAAAUGACGGUACCUGACUAAGAAGCACCGGCUAAAUACGUGCCAGCAGCCGCGGUAAUACGUAUGGUGCAAGCGUUAUCCGGAUUUACUGGGUGUAAAGGGAGUGUAGACGGAUGGGCAAGUCUGAUGUGAAAACCCGGGGCUCAACCCCGGGACUGCAUUGGAAACUGUUCAUCUAGAGUGCUGGAGAGGUAAGUGGAAUUCCUAGUGUAGCGGUGAAAUGCGUAGAUAUUAGGAGGAACACCAGUGGCGAAGGCGGCUUACUGGACAGUAACUGACGUUGAGGCUCGAAAGCGUGGGAGCAAACAGGAUUAGAUACCCUGGUAGUCCACGCCGUAAACGAUGACUACUAGGUGU
rnacentral:rRNA from 1 species